rnacentral:rRNA from 1 species
UACGUAGGGGGCAAGCGUUGUCCGGAUUUAUUGGGCGUAAAGAGCGUGUAGGCGGCUUUACAGGUCCGUUGUGAAAACUCGAGGCUCAACCUCGAGACGCCGGUGGAAACCGUAAAGCUAGAGUCCGGAAGAGGAGAGUGGAAUUCCUGGUGUAGCGGUGAAAUGCGCAGGUAUCAGGAAGAACACCCGUGGCGAAGGCGGCUCUCUGGGACGGUACUGACGCUGAGACGCGAAAGCGUGGGGAGCGAACAGG